UGCAAGUCGAACGAAGAAAUCCCUUCGGGGAGAGUAAGAGUGGCGCACGGGUGAGGAACACGUAGUUAACCUGCCCACAAAUGGGGAAUAGCCUACCGAAAGGUGGAUUAAUACCGCAUAAGACCACAGUUUCUGCGGAAACAGUGGUAAAAGAUUUAUCGUUUGUGGAUGGGACUGCGUCCGAUUAGCUUGAUGGUGGGGUAAAGGCCUACCAUGGCUCCGAUCGGUAGCUGGUUUGAGAAGAUGAUCAGCCACACUGGAACUGAGACACGGUCCAGACUCCUACGGGAGGCAGCAGUAGGGAAUAUUGCACAAUGGAGGAAACUCUGAUGCAGCAACGCCGCGUGAGUGAUGAAGGCUUUCGGGUCGUAAAGCUCUGUCGUGUGGGAAGAUAAUGACGGUACCACACAAGAAAGGACCGGCAAACUCCGUGCCAGCAGCCGCGGUAAUACGGGGGGUCCUAGCGUUGUUCGGAAUCACUGGGCGUAAAGCGAAUGUAGGUGGCUUUGUAAGUCAGAUGUGAAAGCCCGGGGCUCAACCCCGGAAGUGCAUCUGAUACUGCUUGGCUUGAGUACUGAAGAGGAUAGUGGAAUUCCUGGUGUAGUGGUGAAAUACGUAGAUAUCAGGAGGAACAUCGGCGGCGAAGGCGGCUAUCUGGUCAGAUACUGACACUGAGAUUCGAAAGCGUGNGGAGCAAACAGGAUUAGAUACCCUGGUAGUCCACGCCGUAAACGAUGGAUACUUGUUGUUGGAGGUAUUGACCCCUUCAGUGACGGANCUAACGCGUUAAGUAUCCCGCCUGANGAGUACNGUCGCAAGAUUAAAACUCAAAGAAAUUGACGGGGGCCCGCACAAGCGGUG
rnacentral:rRNA from 1 species